AUGAAGGAACAGACAAUAGAAAAUUUAAUGAAAGGUAAAAAAACCUAUGAACCCCCCCGUUUUAUGACUGUAGCACAGGCCUGUCAACAGUUAAUGGAAAUUAUUCUAAAGAAACAAGAAGAGGGAGAAGAAUUAUAAAGGAUUAUUGGCCAUACAUCUUUAGAUUACCGGAUCAAGCAGUAGACAUUUGAUUUAAGUGAACUAAACCUAGUAAACAAUCAUAAAUUAUGCAUCUAUGAGACCAUAAACUUACUAUAGGGUAAUGGAUGAAAAUAAACAAAAUUUGUGUUAAAUGUAAUAAAUUCAUUUUUAUACGCCCACAUGGAAAUGUGGACGUAUAUUUCCGUCACCCCCGUCCGUCCGUCCG